AACGAACGCUGGCGGCAGGCCUAACACAUGCAAGUCGAACGAGAAGCCGCCUUCGGGUGGUGGAAAGUGGCAGACGGGUGAGUAACGCGUGGGAACGUGCCUUUCGGUUCGGGACAACCCAGGGAAACUUGGGCUAAUACCGGAUACGCCCUUCGGGGGAAAGAUUCAUUGCCGAAAGAUCGGCCCGCGUCGGAUUAGCUAGUUGGUAGGGUAAUGGCCUACCAAGGCGACGAUCCGUAGCUGGUCUGAGAGGAUGACCAGCCACACUGGGACUGAGACACGGCCCAGACUCCUACGGGAGGCAGCAGUGGGGAGUAUUGGACAAUGGGCGCAAGCCUGAUCCAGCCAUGCCGCGUGGGUGAAGAAGGCCUUAGGGUUGUAAACCCCUUUCAGCGGGGAAGAUAAUGACGGUACCCGCAGAAGAAGUCCCGGCUAACUCCGUGCCAGCAGCCGCGGUAA
rnacentral:rRNA from 1 species